AGCAGCCGCGGUAAUUCCAGCUCCAAUAGCGUAUAUUAAAGUUGUUGCAGUUAAAAAGCUCGUAGUUGAAUUUCGGGAUUGACGUGAUGGUCGUGCCUUACGGGGUAUGAACUGUUGCAGUCAAUUUCUCACCUUCUGGAGAAAUAUGAUGUCCUUAAUUGGGUGUCAUAUGGAACCAGAACUUUUACCUUGAAAAAUUAGAGUGUUUAAAGCAGGCUUAUUGCUCGAAUACAUUAGCAUGGAAUAAUAGAAUAGGACGGCAUGGUUCUAUUUUGUUGGUUUCUAGGAUCACCGUAAUGAUUAAUAGGGAUAGUUGGGGGCAUUAGUAUUCAAUUGUCAGAGGUGAAAUUCUUGGAUUUAUUGAAGACUAACUACUGCGAAAGCAUUUGCCAAGGAUGUUUUCAUUAAUCAAGAACGAAAGUUAGGGGAUCGAAGACGAUCAGAUACCGUCGUAGUCUUAACCAUAAACUAUGCCGACUAGGAAUCAGACGAUGUUAAUUUUUAAUGACUCGUUUG
rnacentral:rRNA from 1 species